UAGAGAAAAUGUCCUCAGCAGCUACUUAGUCAGUCAAAACAAUCAGAAUCAGUUAAAAUCAGUUAAAAUCAGUUAAAAUCAGUUUCUUCGCUUCCAAACAAUCACCAAAUGCUGCUGUUGCUAGGUUACAGCCUGUCAUUCCAUUUUCAGUUGGCAUCAUAGGCAGAGCAGAAGAGGGGUUGCUUAUUGGGCUUAAGUUAAACUUUGUUUAAUUUCCCCUCAGUCUUUCUGACAGGAGCAGCAAAACAAAGGAGCAAAAGCUCUAUUACUGUGGUGGCGGUAAUGCAUCUCUCUGGUUUGCCAACCGCUAAUAUCUUUCUAAUAUCUUGUCUGUGUUGUUUCACUGGCUUGCUAACCAGACAAAGUUUUUUACGCUGAGGGGUAAACCUCACCGGCCAUUCACAUAGAGAAGCAAUCAGACAGUGAACCGCGGAAGAAUGUUUCAGGUUUGUUAGUCUGCAUUUGUAACACUUCAGUUCUCUAACGUCGUCGUCGAGACUAUCUCUCAACCUAAACAAAUUCCAUAAGUACACCUGCGCCAGUGUGAAAUCACUGAUUGUUUGAUCUCCACCUGAGCUACGAACAAAAAAACAAAACAAAGAAAAGUGUGUGGGUUACAGCAGAGCCCGAGCUAACAGAGAAAGAACAUCUUAUCUGCUUUAGUUUGGGAGCCUGUCUGUGGGCGGCCUCCUUGGAACUGUUGCUCCAAAACAGUUAGCUGGUUGUGGAGCUGUGUGUCCACCCUCUCUGGAGUAUUGCUUGCGGUGUCGUGAGCUGACGCCCAUUUGUCUCCAGCUCCUCAUCCACAGUCUGUUGCUGGAAGAUCACCUGCCUCUGCUCCAGCAAACCCCUGCAAAUCCCUAAAGAUACAAAACUAUAUUGGACAACAAGAAGAAGGCUGGGAGUGGUGCCAGAAGCUGGGUCUUUUUCUCUUCGAUGGAGGACCUCCUGGCUGAUGAUCCCAGUGUGGAUCCGGUCCACAUUGUGUCCUCAUUUGCUGGAGAUCUUUUCCAUGUCAUUUGAUAUGUUAUAUUAAGUAGCACAACAGCACACAUCUACAUGGAUUUCUAAAACACAUUGGAUAUUAAUUGAUCUUCAUCAGACCCAGAUGGCCCAGGACCUUCAACUUUUCAUCCUAAGCCAUCAGCUGAAGGUGGUAAAAAGGAAAAUACAUGCCACUGAGCA